AUGGGGAUUGGAAAGGAGUGCAGUAUUUUUGAUUGCAUGUGGGAUUCUUCUCCUCUCCUAAAGAAGGCUCCCGUAGAAUCUGGUGCAGCAGUUCCACCGCCCUUAUAUUUGCUUAUAAAUAGACUCCUCUCCAUCCCGAUGCUCCAUACCUCACCUCUGCCGUGCCAUCAGUGCCCCAUCGUCGAGCUCCCACCCCCCAGCCUGCCUCUUCUCUUCGUGUGGCCAAGCUGGAAUGGAGGGCACGAUCAAUAUUCGUGGUCGCUAGCGGGGUGCAGCCAGGGGCGGAGUUGGGCCUGGGGCAACUGGGGCUAUAGCCCCAGGCUUGGCCCAUCUACCCCAGGCGUGCAAGCACAGCCCCAUGUUCAGCCCACCUGCGCCGCCUCAGCCGCCCGCCGUUUUCCACGGGACAGAUCGGCGUCCCGCGUCUGUACUUGCGUCCAGGCGGCUGGCGCUCGCCGCUCAGAGCACGGAUCAUCGCCUCGUCGACUCCUAGCAGUGCCCUCCGGGACAGGAAGACAGGAUAGGAAACAAAAGGGGCUACUACCUCGUGCACUUCGUGACAAUGCUCCAGGUCUUUCUACUAUUGCUGCCAUGCAGGUCACGCCGUUGUUGGCCGUGGAGAACGUGCCCCGUGCGGAAGUCAUGCUGGGCUCGCCGGAGACGCGCUGGCAGUGGCACUACUGCGCCUCAAGCGCGUACCGGUGCCCUCUAAGGCGUCGAGACCCGAACACGGCCGAGGUCUUGGCAGAUGGUGCAGAGCUUAUCAAGCCCGCCGUCGACGGCACCAGGCCGCACGUAGUGGCCCUGCUCGCGGAGCUUCGCUCCUACGACCUACUGUUCGAAUUCACCACGCUCCUAGGUUGCCGAGGUUGCGCCGCUCCAGUUCGCUAUCUUCUCCGUCUUCCUCAUUUGUCACCGUGCCAAUCUCCCAGUCCCAGCUUCCCGGCUUCACCUACAUGUUCACUAGCUUCAAUGAUGAGUCGUGCCUGUAUUGUACGCCCGCGCCAUCGCUAA
rnacentral:rRNA from 1 species